AAGGAGUUGGGAAGGCUUCCGGGUUUUGUGACCGUUGUUACGGUCGAAUUCCAUUUGAAACUGACCGUAAUCCCGUUCACAACACCUUGUUUGCCACCCCGAAUUGUGAA
rnacentral:pre_miRNA from 16 species